GUGGCGAACGGGCGAGUAACGCGUGUCUAAUCUGCCCUGGAGCGGAUGACAACUAUGGAGACAUAGCUAAUCAUCCAUACGUCCCUAUGAAUGAAAAUAAUAGGGAGAAAGAUUUAUCGCUCUAGGAGGAGGAUGCGUCCUAUCAGCUAGUUGGUGAGGUAAUGGCUCACCAAGGCAAUGACGGGUAGCCGGUCUGAGAGGAUGUCCGGCCGCAAUGGAACUGAGAUACGGUCCAUACUCCUACGGGAGGCAGCAGUGGGGAAUAUUGCACAAUGGGCGAAAGCCUGAUGCAGCGAUUCCGCAUGGAGGAUGAAGCCUUAAGGGGUGUAAACUUCUUUUCUGGAGGAAGACGAAUGACGGUACUUCAGGAAUAAGGGACGGCUAACUACGUGCCAGCAGCCGCGGUAAUACGUAGGUCCCAAGCGUUAUCCGGAGUUACUGGGCGUAAAGAGUCUGUAGCCUGGUUUGUAAGUCUAUUUUCAAAGACCAUGACUCAAUCAUGGGAAGGGAGUAGAUACUGCAUGCCUAGAGUAUUUUAGAGGUUAGUGGAAUUUUCGGUGGAGCGGUGAAAUGCGUUGAUAUCGGAAGGAAUGCCAAAAGCGAAAGCAGCUAACUAUGAAAUUACUGACGGUCAGAGACGAAAGCUUGGGUAGCAAACGGGAUUAGAUACCCCGGUAGUCCAAGCCGUAAUUAUGCUUGCUAGAUGUU
rnacentral:rRNA from 1 species